GAUGAACGCUAGCUACAGGCUUAACACAUGCAAGUCGAGGGGAAACGGCAUCGAAAGCUUGCUUUUGAUGGGCGUCGACCGGCGCACGGGUGAGUAACGCGUAUCCAACCUGCCCAUCACUUGGGAAUAACCUUGCGAAAGUAAGACUAAUGCCCAAUGACAUCCCACGAAGGCAUCCGAAUGGGAUUAAAGAUUUAUCGGUGAUGGAUGGGGAUGCGUCUGAUUAGCUUGUUGGCGGGGUGACGGCCCACCAAGGCAACGAUCAGUAGGGGUUCUGAGAGGAAGGCCCCCAACAGUGGAACUGAAACAGCGCCAAAAAUCCUACGGGAGGAAGCAGGGGGGAAUAUUGGUAAAGGGGCGAGGCCCUGAACCAGCAAAGUAGGGUGGAGGAUGACGGCCCUAGGGGUUUGAACCUGCUUUUAUAAGGGAAUAAAGGGGGUCACGUGUGAUUUUUGGCAUGUACCUUAGGAAUAAGGACCGGCUAAUUCCGG
rnacentral:rRNA from 1 species